rnacentral:rRNA from 1 species
GUGGGGAAUAUUGGACAAUGGGCGAAAGCCUGAUCCAGCCAUGCCGCGUGUGUGAAGAAGGUCUUCGGAUUGUAAAGCACUUUAAGUUGGGAGGAAGGGCAGUAAGUUAAUACCUUGCUGUUUUGACGUUACCAACAGAAUAAGCACAGGCUAACUUCGUGCCAGCAGCCGCGGUAAUACGAAGGGGGCAAGCGUUAAUCGGAAUUACUGGGCGUAAAGCGCGCGUAGGUGGUUCAGCAAGUUGGAGGUGAAAUCCCCGGGCUCAAGCUGGGAACUGCCUCCAAAACUACUGAGCUAGAGUACGGUAGAGGGUAGUGGAAUUUCCUGUGUAGCGGUGAAAUGCGUAGAUAUAGGAAGGAACACCAGUGGCGAAGGCGACUACCUGGACUGAUACUGACACUGAGGUGCGAAAGCGUGGGGAGCAAACAGGAUUAGAAACCCGUGUAGUCC